rnacentral:rRNA from 1 species
AGUGAACGCUGGCGGUAGGCCUAACACAUACAAGUCGAACGGCAGCACAGUAAGAGCUUGCUCUUACGGGUGGCGAGUGGCGGACGGGUGAGGAAUACAUCGGAAUCUACUUUUUCGUGGGGGAUAACGUAGGGAAACUUACGCUAAUACCGCAUACGACCUACGGGUGAAAGCAGGGGAUCUUCGGACCUUGCGCGAUUGAAUGAGCCGAUGUCGGAUUAGCUAGUUGGCGGGGUAAAGGCCCACCAAGGCGACGAUCCGUAGCUGGUCUGAGAGGAUGAUCAGCCACACUGGAACUGAGACACGGUCCAGACUCCUACGGGAGGCAGCAGUGGGGAAUAUUAGACAAUGGGCGCAAGCCUGAUCCAGCCAUACCGCGUGGGAGAAGAAGGCCUUCGGGUUGUAAAGCCCUUUUGUUGGGAAAGAAAAGCAGCAGGUUAAUACCCCGCUGUUCUGACGGUACCCAAAGAAUAAGCACCGGCUAACUUCGUG